rnacentral:rRNA from 1 species
GACGAACGCUGGCGGCGUGCUUAACACAUGCAAGUCGAACGGAAAGGCCCUUCGGGGUACUCGAGUGGCGAACGGGUGAGUAACACGUGGGUGAUCUGCCCUGCACUUUGGGAUAAGCCUGGGAAACUGGGUCUAAUACCGACUAUGAUCAUCGGCUGCAUGGUCGGUGGUGGAAAGCUUUUGCGGUGUGGGAUGGGCCCGCGGCCUAUCAGCUUGUUGGUGGGGUAAUGGCCUACCAAGGCGACGACGGGUAGCCGGCCUGGGAGGGUGACCGGCCACACUGGGACUGAGAUACGGCCCAGACUCCUACGGGAGGCAGCAGUGGGGAAUAUUGCACAAUGGGCGCAAGCCUGAUGCAGCGACGCCGCGUGAGGGAUGACGGCCUUCGGGUUGUAAACCUCUUUCAGCACAGACGAAGCGCAAGUGACGGUAUGUGCAGAAGAAGGACCGGCCAACUACGUGCCAGCCGCCGCCGUAACAC